CCCUACUAGCAGGAGGGUGAGUCACACUGAAGCCAGGAGCAGCCUCAGGGCAAGGAGUGGGAAAUGUGACCACACAAUGACGACCACAGGAAAAGCUUGAUCGAGCCCUAAGAAGGAACAGAAGCAGAUCUUCGUGACCUUGGAUGAAGCUGUGCUUUGGCAGCAACCCCAGAACCAGAUUUUGAAAAUCAACAACCUGCACGUGCAUGUUGUCAUCGAAAGGGCAUCUGAGGGGGACAAGGAUGUGGCCGUGAGAAGGCCAGCUGAAUGAAACUCCAGAGGCAGAUGAGCAGCGCGGUAGGAGGAGGGUGCGGGCCUGGAGGCCAGGUAAGCAGCGGCAGCGGCGCGGGGUCCACCGGGCUCGGACGCCCCCCACCGUUUCCAGCCCACUUCUCCACGACGACGCGGGGACAACAAUGAAUGCCUAUCUCACACUUCAGCGAAGAUAUGAGGAGAAAACGCGGUAGCAGAACAGGUAGACACUCAUUCAACAAGUUCCUUUCUCCCUCUGCAACCCCACCACUGGACACCCUGAGGCAACCUGGCUUAAAAUGGGAAGAAAUCGGAAAUAGAUGUCAACACUAUUUCAUUUUCUAUUUUUCCCCCCAUUUUGUAUC